CCGGGGGACUCCUGCCGUCCGCCCGCAUCUUGCCGUUCGAAGCUGUGCAACUACCGAGCCGCAGCGAACCACCUGCUUCACUCCCGCUGCUCGUUCGCCUGACGCCGUUCGACGCCUCGGUCGACUGAACCACCGAGGCUUCUCAACCCGCUAUGGGAGGCGACUUGGUUGCCGCCCGCGCCUCCCUCGUCAGACAACGACCGAGCCUACCCCUGAACACUUGAUUCUGCUAUAGCUCCAGCCCUGCUCUCACUCGGGGUGACUCGGAUUCCCUGGGCUCCGGGAGUUUAUGCUCCUGGAUGAGUUUCUCACUAAUCUCACCAGAGAUUUGAGGAUCUUCAUCAAGGAGCGCCGGCCGAAACAUCUUUCCGACGCAGUGAGACUUGCCGACGACUGGUCGUCUGCCCGCAAUGCCUACCCUAAAGCUUCAAUUCCCGAGACCCCUCCGCCCACGAAAUCUUCAGAGUCCUCUUCGGGAGCCUCCGCCAAGAUUUCUGCCCAGCCCAAUACAGCAACCCUGAGGUGUCACCAAUGCGGGGAGGAAGGCAAUCUACGUCCGCGCUGCCCGAAGAAUCCCCGCGCCUUCAAAGACUUCUAACCUGCUAAACCAUCAUAUCAGGUAGGCUUUUGCCUUUGUGACAAAAGUAUCCCAAAGUUUUCUGUUCCGGGCACUAUUAACGGGUCUUGGAGCUCCAACAUAAUCAGGGAUACUGGCUGUUCCUGUGUGAUCGUCUCUGAAUCCCUGAUGUAGAUGUUGAGUUGUAGAUGUUGAGUUGUCCAAAAGUCUCCCUUGCUGACUGCCGAGGACGAGUGGACAAGUUUCCCGUGGUGAGGUGCCACUUAAUCUGUCCCUACUUCACCGGUUGGACUGAGGUGGUACGAGCUCCUGUUAGGUUUGUUUGGGCCCUCAUCGGUUACUUCCCUGGGGUAAGGGAUCUCCAUGACUGACUCUUCUCAACCUCAAUCUGAGUCUUCCAGAACAUUCUCACCUUCAAAGUUGCCGCGAGGGACUCCUUCUCCUCUUGUUCCGUCGUCCCCUGCAGCCAUCCAGGUACAGUUACCACUCGUGCUGGUAGGUUGAAGAGGCUUCAUCCGCUUGUCCUUCCGGAACCUCUACCUCCUUCAGUAACCCCUCAAGACUACUCGCAGCUUCAAGCUUCUGUGCCUCCUUAGCAGCGAUACGGCAGAAAGCCUCAUCUGGACACUUCGACAAAGCACUGAACGGAUCCUCCUUCCAGUACCUGUAUCUAAACUGACUUCUCUACAGGAAGUGCCUCACCUCCCUGCUCUCUAACAAGAACUACUUCCCCAAGUUGCCAUCGACCUCGUUGGACCGUUGUCUCCACCAGCUACGGAAGGACUUCUUGUCAGCCCCGUUCCCGUAGUGGAGCAAUCACCUGACGCCAGCUCCACAGAACUUCCCCUCGAUGAACCAGUUAUGGACGACCGGGAUGCAUUCUCCACCUCGCCUGGCUGUACUUUAACGAUUCAGGACAUCGUCCGGGUGUUGAGAUGGGCCUUGGGUCUACCGGCCUACAGGUACAGUGUCGUCCAUAUGGCCGGGAAGGAUUAUGUGGGGGGGGCCGGAUUUAUUGAGUAGACUUCCUGCAUAAGUCACUCCUUUGUUUCCUCGUCAGUUUCCCCCCGUUUUAGUUUAUUGGCCUGUAUUCUUUUUUCUUUCCACUUUGUAGUUUGUGGAAUCUACCUGGAUUAGAUUCUAGUAUGGGGGGCCUGUGUGAGGGCAACUACCAACUUAGCGGCCGAACGACCGGGGCACUCCUGCCGUCCGCCCGCAUCUUGCCGUUCGAAGCUGUGAAACUACAGAGCCGCAGCGAACCACCUGCUUCACUCCCGCUGCUCGUUCGCCUGACUCUGUUCGACGCCUCGGUCGACUGAACCACAGAGGCUUCUCAACCCGCUAUGGGAGGAGACUUUGUUGCCGCCCGCGCCAUCCUCGUCGGAAAGCGGCCUCGCCUCGCCCUGAACACUUGAUUCUGCUAUAGCUCCAGCCCUGCUCUCACUCGGGCUAACUCAGAUACCGUGAGCUUGUUCUGGGUGCCUUACCUCUCCUCUAUCUACGCCCUGGACUCCCGUGACUGCCGUGAACCUGACGCCCCUUCUCCUGCGCCCCUCUCGUCUACCACAUCUACACCACUUCAAGGACGAAGCUGUGCUGCCUCGUCAUUACCACUUAAAGGACGAGACGCCCCGAAGAGGAAGAAGUCCUGCAACAGGUCCUUGCUAAGUCCGGCGUGCUGAAGCUUUCGUGUCGGAGACUUCAGAUUGUGAGGCCUGUUUUGGGGUUUUCUUAGUUUACUUAAAGUAAACUGGUGUCUAACCAU